AGCUGAAGAGAUUGGGUUCCGUCCUAAGGUGGGAUUUCUUUCCGUGCUCGCGCGUUCAACCCCAAGUCUCAGGGCCACUCGUCUGGGAAGUUGUUGAAUCUGUAUAGCUAACCUACCCAACCUCCAAGGGGCCUGCUGCCAUCAGACUGGAACUAAACCAUCAGCUCUCAUGGGACUCCAUCUUGCUGACUUACCCUGCAGAUCUUGGGAUUUAACCGCCUCCAUAAUCAUGAAUCCUCCCUCCAGGUCACUGGGAACUUCAAUUCCUUAGAAGAAAGAAAGAGAUGACUCCUGCUUCAUAGUCCAGGAAAAUCCCCACACACCGUGGAGGCUCUUUAAGGCGGAAGGAGGUCUGCGGGGAUGUGAGAGCUUCAUACUCAUUCCCACGACUCUGUCGCAGAAGCCAGUGUCCAUUGGCAGAAGCAACUAUCACCAUACUAUGAAGUAGCACAAGCCUUUCACCAGAUACAGUCACCCAAUCUUGGACCAUCCAGCCCUGAGAACCAUGAGCUAAAUAAACCUCUUUCCUUGAUAAA
rnacentral:antisense_RNA from 1 species